CCUACGGGGUGCUGCAGUGGGGAAUAUUGCACAAUGGGCGCAAGCCUGAUGCAGCCAUGCCGCGUGUGUGAAGAAAGCCUUCGGGUUGUAAAGCACUUUCAGCGGGGAGGAAGGCGGUGAGGUUAAUAACCUCAUCGAUUGACGUUACCCGCAGAAGAAGCACCGGCUAACUCCGUGCCAGCAGCCGCGGUAAUACGGAGGGUGCAAGCGUUAAUCGGAAUUACUGGGCGUAAAGCGCACGCAGGCGGUCUGUCAAGUCGGAUGUGAAAUCCCCGGGCUCAACCUGGGAACUGCAUUCGAAACUGGCAGGCUAGAGUCUUGUAGAGGGGGGUAGAAUUCCAGGUGUAGCGGUGAAAUGCGUAGAGAUCUGGAGGAAUACCGGUGGCGAAGGCGGCCCCCUGGACAAAGACUGACGCUCAGGUGCGAAAGCGUGGGGAGCAAACAGGAUUAGAUACCCGUGUAGUC
rnacentral:rRNA from 1 species